rnacentral:lncRNA from 10 species
UAGAGCAACCCAAAGGAAGUCUUGUGUUCUUGAAAGAGGAAUCAGACAAAUACACAGGGCUAAGAGGAGGAUUGUAAGUGAUUCAGGAGCAAAGCUUAUUGAUCACGAAGCAUGACAGUGGAAGAAUUUCCUGAAAAUGGAAGGAGAAGAUGGUUUCACAGCAAAGCUACUAAUCUGAAACAGUAAAAGCAACAAACAAAUGCCCACUCCCCUUAGCUGACCAGAACACAAUCCUUGUGAAAUAUAAAAAC